rnacentral:tRNA from 4 species
UGCGGGGUAGAGCAGAGGCAGCUCGUCGGGCUCAUAACCCGGAGGUCGGAGGUUCGAAUCCUCCCCCCGCUA